AUUUGGAGUUUCACUUCAUUUGCUUUAUUACUCAGUACUGUUCCGUACUUUGUGUUUCACGUAUUAUCUUCACAUUAUACAAAUCCAGCACAAUCCUCCUCAGAAUGAAAUAGAAAACAUGGCAUGGGGAAGUAAAGGCUUUGCAGCUUCUAUGUGAAGAAUAUCUUGCAUGGUGCCCUGCUCUCAGCACAAUGUGACAGCAUGUUGAAAUAUUUCCUCGGUUUCCGUCAUUCAAAAUGAGAAACCCAUACUUGAAGGCUGACAGCCACGCAGCCCUUUCCUACACUGCUUUGUGACAGUGUUUGUCCAGAUAGCCUCUCCAGAAAUACCAUAAGUAGUCUAGGUGGUCAAACCUUUUUGCUUUCCACUCACUCGCAGUACAAAUAUUUAUCCCUUUUAUUCUAGUUCUGAAGCAUUACUUCUCAGAGGGGAAACAUUGUUUUAAGUGGGCACAGCCCAUCUUCUUCAGACAUCCAAGCAUGGCAGAUGGAUUGGACUGCAUCUGCAGACAUAGGGGAGCAUGUUUCAAUACCAUUAUGGAACUGGCUGAGUGUACUUCUAUACUACAUCAGUGAAUGACUGCAAGAACUGAUGACUUGGUCCUGCCAAGUACUUAAAAAAAAAAAAAACAUGACUAAUGACUUUGACCCCAGCAUUUGAAUGAACCUGCAACUUCAACACUGAAGAGAUGAAAAAGGAAAUCUGGGGUGCCCUGUCUUUUCCAACAUUUUGAAUCCAUAUCUGGUUCUGUCUUUGGGCAAAUCAAACAAAAGUUUUGAAAAACAUUCAAAGUAAUUCUGACUAUGGUCACCAGAGACUUCUUUUCACCUCUUGGCCACAAGAAGGAGGGUAAGACAUUCUAUAAUUUAUACAAAUAGAAAUGCAGUUGGGUAAGUGAAAGGUCCUUCCAGCCCAGUAUCUUGUGCCACAAGUGGCAGACGAUUUCUUCACACCUUCCUUUCCUCCCCAGUACCCACUCAAGUUAUUUCCUUUCCCCUGAGAAAUCCUCAGCCGCUUUAUAGGAGCUGUUUCAUGCCUUUGAUCACCUCAGGCUGCCAUGUUCAUAUCUCUUUUAUUAUUAUGUCUUUCUUGAAAUUAUGGGACCAGAACUACACAAUUUAGGUGAGAUAUUGUCACAUCUUGAAUUUUAACACAGUAAUGUCUUUGGUUUUGUUUACAAUCAUUUCCUUUCUAAUCUUUAUUCUUUUAUUUUCUUUUUCUGGUACUGUGUAAAGAACUGAAGUUUCCAAGGGAAAAAAUACCCCCCCAAAAAAAAGUUUCUUGGAGUCAUAAAAGUUAUUUUGAUGCCCAUAAUUCCCAUUUGCAUCAUUUUAUGUUUAUUAUUUGUCUUUUUUUUCCUACUUUUUAAAUUUCAUUUGUUGUGUUCAUUUCAUCAUUCUCUUUCAU
rnacentral:lncRNA from 1 species